rnacentral:tRNA from 1 species
AGCAGUUAAGCAUUCAGCUGCUAACCGAAAUGUCGGUGGUUCCAACCCACCAGCUGCUC